CCAUGUCCAUGGGGCAUGGAUCUGCUUUUUGCCCAAUUAAUUAGCCGAUUUUGACCGGUGAUGCAGAAUAGUAUUGGUGAACAGGGGAUGGCGAUGAUCUUAUUAGGAUAACAACUGGUAUGGCGAUGAUGCUGACAUAACACUUCUGCGAGGAUUUUCAGGAGCUUUGUUUUCUUUCUCUCUCUCUCUAGCUGCAACACCCCCUCCCUCAUUUAUUAUAUAUGUAUAUGGCAUCGGCUGCUUUUGUGUACGUUCGAUGCAGCUAUUCUCCAAGAUUCAGUAACAAUAUCAGAAAUGGUGGGACGAAUGCACGUCUAGGAUCUCCCUCUUCCUCCUCUUCGUGUUCGUGUUCCUCGUCGCACGGUGUCAGCUUCUCUUCUGGCACAAAUACUUAUUGGAAACAUCAAGGUCUGAAAGGUCAAGCUAUGAGUACUGCCACAGAAGGAAAUUUUGCAUCAUCUAGGGGGAUCAUUAAUGGGAGUAAUAAACCUGAUCAUCUUCUUGUUCUUGUUCAUGGUAUCUUGGCUAGCCCCAGUGACUGGACAUAUGUAGAAGCAGAAUUGAAAAGGCGUAUUGGAAGAAACUUUUUAAUAUAUGCAAGUUCAUGUAACACGUACACCAAAACCUUUUCUGGGAUUGAUGGAGCUGGAAAGCGAUUGGCUGAUGAGGUUUUGAAAGUUGUACAAACGACAGAGGGCCUGAAAAGAAUCUCUUUUCUAGCCCAUUCUCUUGGCGGCUUAUUUGCAAGAUAUGCUGUUGCUGUUCUGUAUUCACCUAUAACUGAGUCACAAGCAGGUGAUUCUGCCAAUUCAGUGAUAGUAAACUCGCCAACAGCACUUCGUUCAAGACCAGGUACAAUAGCUGGAUUGGAGCCAAUCAAUUUUAUUACAUUGGCAACUCCACAUCUUGGAGUGAGAGGGAGAAAGCAGCUUCCAUUUCUCUUUGGAGUACCCCUAUUGGAAAAACUUGCUCCGCCAAUUGCUCCUAUUUUUACAGGCCGAACUGGUAGUCAACUGUUCCUCACUGAUGGUAAACCUGACAAACCACCUCUUCUUCUAAGAAUGACAACAGACUGUCAAGAUAUAAAAUUUAUAUCAGCCUUGGGUUGUUUUAGAUGUCGCAUUGUUUAUGCCAAUGUUUCUUAUGAUCAUAUGGUUGGUUGGAGGACUUCCUCCAUAAGGAGAGAGACAGAACUUGUCAAGCCACCUCGCCGUUCUUUGGAUGGUUACAAGCAUGUGGUGGAUGUGGAGUAUUGUCCACCAGUUCCCUCAGAUGGUCCUCAUUUUCCUCCAGAAGCUGCCAAAGCAAAGGAGGCAGCACAGAAGACACCUAGCACUCAGAAUACAGCGGAGUAUCACGAAAUUUUAGAAGAGGAAAUGAUACAUGGCCUACAGCAGCUAGGGUGGAAGAAAGUUGAUGUGAGCUUUCACUCAGCAUUCUGGCCUUUCUUUGCCCACAACAAUAUACAUGUGAAAAAUGAAUGGUUCCACAAUGCUGGUACUGGAGUAGUUGCUCAUGUUGCAGACAGCCUAAAGCAACAAGAAUCCUCCACUGCAAUUACCGCUAGCUUGUAGCUAAGAAGUAUAUGAGAUUGCACUUCAUGCUGUAAAAUAAUUGCACCGCACAGUAUUUGAAGAUAAUGAAAAUCCCUUCUGUUGAUAGUUGAAUGAUGAGUUGUAACUUGUAAGCAGCAUUGGUGGGCUGGGUCUUCUCGUGCUAGGCCUAUUGGGUUCCACAUGUAAACUCUAUGUUGGGUAGCUUUAGUCACAUCCCGAUUUUUUUUAAAGACACCUCAAUCCAAGUUGAUCACCCCUUAUAAAAAUCAGUUGACAAGGUGUCUUUAGAAAAAAUCGGGAUGUGACUAAAACUAUCCCUCUAUGUUUUGUACGUGAAAUGGGCCUCAGGUCCAUGAACUUGAAUCAAUUAUUGUUGUCAUUCGCCUAGGGGGGAAAAGGUCACUCUCUAAAAUUUACGGUGCAACAAUGCCACUAA